UCUAUUCUGUUCCACUGGUCUGUGUGUCUGAUUUUAUACAAGUACUAUGCCAUUUUCAGUACUGAAGCCUUGAAAUACAAUUUGAAGUCAGGCAACAUGAUG